CGGGAGACGCCGCGGUUGCUAAGCCCCGGCCCGUGAGCGGCCGGCUUUCGCGGAGCCGCCCCUUCCAGGAGGAGCUUCCAGAGUCUAGUGGGGCAAAGCAAGGGCGGAAAAAUGGAGCCUAGUUCAAAGGGCGGCGCGCUUUGCUUCUCUGGACAAGCGCCAACUUUGGGUUCGAGGCGUGUGAGUUCAAUCUAGAGUAGAGUCUCCUCAUCCCCCCCCUCCCCGUGAACGUGUGAGCGCGGAUCGCGUGCACAGUGCAUUUCCGUAUCUACACCUGAGAGAAGGAGCUGCGUGUGGGACUUUCCAGGCAGGUGGGAGCCCUUCUUUGCGCUGUGCCUAUAUUUAUUUAUAUGUGCUCCUUACUAAAGCUUGUCAUAUGCUGCGGCUUCCCAAUGAACGAAAAUCUCAUACCGUCCAACAUUUCUCCAAUGAAAAUAGAGCCAUCCUAUCUAAUAGUAGUAGUAGUAGUCGUACCCCGUCCAUCUGACUGGGUUGCCCCAGCAACUCCGGGCUGCUUCCAACAUAAAUAAAAACAUAAUAAAACAUUAAGCAUUUUUUAAAAAAACAACAGCCAUUCCCUAUACCGGGCUGUCUUCAGAUGGCUCAGGGGUCAGAUAACUCCAUACCCUCCAACAUUUCUCCGAUGAAAAUAGGGUCGUCCUAAGGAAAAGUGGGACAUUCUGAGAUCAAAUAAGAAAUUGGGAUGGCUUCUGUAAAUCCAGGACUGUCCCUGGAAAAUAGGGACACAUGGAGGGUCUGAUAUCUGCAUGUUUUUGUAGAUGCUGGAAGGCGCCCAGAGUGGCUUGGGCAACCCAGUCAGAUAGGCAGGGUAGAAAUAAUAAAAAUUGUUUAUUUGUUUAUUUUAUUUUAUUUGUUUAUUUUUAUUAUUAUUAUAUUCAAAUAUCUCUACAGGCAAGACAGAUGCUCCACCGCUGAGUUACUAGCCUUCCCAGAUAUCAAUAGGAAAUCAUAGAAUGUGUGCUAUAUAUAUUUCUUAGAAUCACAGGGUCAUAAAGCCACUAAUCACAGAACUGUAAGCAAAAUGCAGUGGAUCCCAUAUAGUGUACAGUAUAUCCAAAGUAUCACAAGGUUCCCCAACCUUCUUGAAAAGCACAGAGGUGAAGAACACGUGACUGCAAGGAUCCGACUGGAAUAUUACUCUGCUAGUAAUAUGCAGCUAGAUCCUACUCAAAGUAGGCGUGAUUAAAAGCCAUUCAGUUCAAAAGAAGUGAACGUGCAGAACUCUGCAUUGAGCUGUGCAGUUACUGUGUGAGGAACCUUUGGCCUGCCAGAUGUUGCUGAACUACAACUCCCAUCUGCCCCAGCAAGCAUGGCCUGUGACCAGGGAGGAUGGGAGUUGUAGUUCAACAACAUGGUGGACAUGUCAAAGGUUCCCCACUCCUGCUGUAUACGGUAUAUAAUAUGGGGAAGAAACUAGGCUUAAUUCGUGUAUCUAUUGACCCGGGGGCAGUGUUACAGAGUGGGAUAUGAAAGCUAGGAGCUAAAUGGCACCUUAAAUCUAGGUUAUGGGCGCAACAACGGAAUGUCUAAGCACACUUUUUAAAUAACAAGAAUACAAAGCUGAAAAUGAAUGAUCUGCAGCUAAUUUUUCACAUAGUCUAGUCCUCAUCUGAAGACUGCAAAAAACAACAACACAAAGCCAUACUUCCUCUGCCUGCCCCCCUAAUAUUUUUAAGAGAGUCUCUUCUCCAGUCUUCAGAGAGUGACUGGAAGGGGGGAGGCAGAAAAAGGUCCUCCUUUCCUUCCACUGCAGUUUUAAUCUGAAAUCUUGGGUGCAGUACCACUGAGGUGGGAAGGUAAACGGCGUUUCCAUGCACUCUGGUUUCCGUCAGUGUUCUGUUGCACCAGAAGCGGUUUAGUCAUGCUGGCCACAUGACCCAGAAAGCUGUCUAUAGACAAACGUCGGCUCCCUCGGCCUGAAAGCGAGAUGAGCAUUGUACCCCAUAGUCACCUUUGACUGGACUUAACCGUCCAGUGUUCUUUUACCCUUACCUUUACUUUACUGCACCCAGAGCUCAGAAACUGCUCACGCUAAUAAAAUUCCUUGUCACAAAACGCGCCUAGAACAAUAGAGUUUCGAACUCUGCCUGGGAGUAAACCAGCAUAGACUCAAUGGUACUUAUAGCUGAGAGGUCAUAUAAAAGAUGAUGGUAAUGAUGAUGAUUUAUUAAAUUUGUAUACUGCCCCAUACCUAUAGAUCUCAGGGCACUUCACAACAUAAAAUGGCAAUUUAAACAACACAAAGUACAUAAUAAGUUAAUCCCUUUGUAGCUGUAUUUUUGUCUUCCUUGCAUUAGGGCUAUUGAUAAACUCAACACUUCAGGGUGGACAAAUUUAAAACGGAUAAAGGGAGGGGGCAAAGGUGGGAAAUAAUAUACAGCAGUUCAGUGACAAGAUGUAGGGGUGGUUGACAAUUUGGACUUCGACGGUGGUUUUCCAGUAACCUCAGCAAUUUUUAAAUAGCUGUAAAAUAAAAUGGCUUCCUCCUGACAGUCUAACCUUUUUCUGAUUCUUCAUGGCAGGUGUUAGAGAGCGAAAUUGGCUUUUGACAACUUAGGGCCCUGAUCUAAGGCAAUGGUGACAGGCAGGCUUGCAGGGAAAGGGAAUAGACCAGUGUUGUAGAAAACAAUUGGGGUUGGCUUUUACAGCCCAACUUCCCAUCAAGAAACUCUGUAUCCCCCUACAUCCAUUAUCUGUCAGAGAAGAAUGGAUGGAGGCAAGAUCCAGAGAAAGCAAGGCAGAUCUUUAUUUUUUUCUGUUGCAACCGAAUUUUUACAGUUCAGUAAAUACCAUCAGCAGUGAAAUUACUUGCCCUAUCCACACGCUUAAUAAAUAGCUUGCUAAAAUGGCUUUUUUUCUGUAGGAGGCACCUUACAUAAUCAGAGCAGUUUGUUUUAAGUAAGAACCUACUAAUAAACAAUGUCAUUGCUCUGUGCCAUAAGAAACAACCCUGGGGACAGAAGGAGACUCUGCUUUUUUAUAAAUAAAUAAAUAAAUUGCAAAUUGCACAGAUAGAUAGCAUCUUGUCAGCCCACCAGUUAAUUAUGGUACAGUAAAAACAGCAGAGCAAAAUAUAGCUCAAUUCCAUUGUAAAUGGAAUCAGCCAAGUGCAAAAAAACAACACAUUUAACUUUCAGGAAACCUAAGAUGAAUGAGCUUCAUCCAGGAUCUCAGAAUGCAAAAAAGACAGAAAAAGAUUUUUAGACAUUCUAAUUAGGGGAGUUAUUUCCCCCUGAUUGACUAGGAAGUUUUGCCCCUUCUUGUGUACCAUUUGGCUUGCCUUAUUUGCAUGAAAGACCAUUUGCUCAGCCCCAGGCACAUCUCACAUGAAGACCUUUUUCAUUCCACUUCUGUACAGUCUAGAUGAUGUAAUGCAUAGCAGAAAAGUAAAGCUGUGUGGCUGGCGAGUCCUGUUUUAGGACAUUACUUAUACUGACCUUUCGCUGCACUCCCUUGAGAUUUCCACAUCAUUUCCCUCCUUUAAUAAAUCAAUGCAAGACUAAACUAAGCCCGGAAUCCUAUGCAGAUGUAGUUAGGAGGGUGGCCAAUUUAAUGCAAUAUGUGUCUCAGCACAUAUUCAAAGGCUUGAGCUCCAUGCAAACUAAACCGUCCCAUGAACAGUUAGUCCCAGAAGGGAAGCUUCCACUGCCGGUAUCAAUCCUUCAUGAUACACAGUCCUGGUCCUGGUCCUCCCCACCACUGAGGGAGUUUUCUUAAAAGCGACUUUAAGAAGUACAUUUUGAAUCACAUCUAAUUCUCGGUUAUUGUCAGGCUUCGGAGAAUUGGCUUCCGCCCCCCUGGCCGUAAAUGAGCAGAUCAAACAAAGGGGAAUUCUUACCAGAUAGUUUCUUUAAUAAACAUAAAAAGGUAAAGGUAAAGGAACCCCUGACCAUUAGUUCCAGUUGCGGACGACUCUGGGGUUGCGCGCUUAUCUCGCUUUAUUGGCCAAGGGAGCCGGCGUACAGCUUCCGGGUCAUGUGGCCAGCAUAACUAAUCUGCUUCUGGUUAACCAGAGCAGCGGUGCCUAUUUAUCUACUUGCACUUUGACGUGCUUUCGAACUGCUAGGUUGGCAGGAGCAGGGACCGAGCAACAGGAGCUCAACCCGUCACGGGGAUUCGAACCGCGACCUUCGAUCAGCAAGCCCUCGGCUCUGUAGUUUAACCCACAGCAUAGUGAAGGACAAAAGAACGCAUCUAACAAGAAUGGCAGUGCUCCCAAUUAAGGUCACUCCCCCUUCCGUCCCUAUUAAUCCAUGUCACUCCUAUGUUUUGUAAUCUGAGUUUGUAGUCUCUGUGCUUUCUGUUCUGACACUUUCUGAGCUCUCCGAGACUUUGGGGAAGGGGGGUGGAUACUAUCCAGAGACUGUGAAUCUGUUAACUCUCUCUCUUCUAGUGUCUCUUCUGCUAACUGUUCCCCACCUAGUAUUUCCCAGCUUCUGCCUUCCGAACUAUGACCCUCUGCAAACCACUGUUCCAAAUCUAUACUGUCCUCCUGCUCCUGGGAAGAUUCAGGAUCAGGAGGAGGGCGUGGCUCCCACCAUUCUUCCUCCGUGCAGCCCUCCUCAGCAUGGUCCCUGACAGUUAACAAAAAUGUAGAAUGCUUAAUGCAGGGCCAAAUAAUGGCUUCCAAAACCAUUACAAAACUAACUGAAUUAAUUGAGAAUAACAAAUCCACAGGGAAUACGACCUUUUUCUGAGAAACAGCCACAUGGUUUCUGUUGAAGUGCCAGCUCAUCAAAUAGCCAAAAGUAAAUCUUCUUAUAUAGUUCAAAUAUGUUUGGUGUUUUUAGCUGGCAGCUAUGUUUAUCCUUCUCUUUCCCCAUAUAUUUUUCAGACUAGUGUGUUUAAAGAUUACCCUGGACAUGAAAAGUCUUCCUUGAUUACACAAACGUUCCCCAGAGGCGAAGAAAAUGCAUAUAAUUCUCAGCCAUAACAUAUUUUCCCAUUAUAUCAUUUUUAAAAGCAAGAACUGAAUGUUCUGUAGAUGUAAAAUUAGCUCUGCAGCAUAGCCUGUAAUAGAAAAUGAAAUUAGUUUCAGACAUUUUUAUAGUCUUGAGAGUUAACUACCAUAAACUAUAAGCAAGUUAAAGUUCUCCGAGAAGAUGAAUUAAAAUUCUUUACUAAGUAUUUGUCAUUUACUGUCAAAAAAUUAUUUUUUUAAAUUUGCUGGGAAACCUACAGGUAGACUCUAGGUGUCAGGGAUAUGAUGAAGCACACAUCCCCAGCAAUGUGUCAUUGCUGCCCUUGGCAGAGCUAGUCGUCCCUGCCCUAAGGCAGAGCAGAUAUUUGACUUCCACAACUACAAUUCCUGUCAUCCCCGACCAUUUGCCAUGCUGGCCAGGGCUAGUGUAAGUGGAAUCUUGGGGAGAACGGCUGUAGUUCAGCGAUAGGUCAUCUGCUUUGCAUGCAGAUGGUCCCAGUUUCAAAGCCCGGCAUCUAUAGUCAGGGCUAGGAAAGACUCCUUAUCUAUGUUGGUUUUAUUUGGUGUAAAGAAAACUAGGUAAAUAUAAGGAGAAUUCCCUGGAUGCCCAAGAUCCAGGUUUGGGGCAAGUACUCUUUGGUGAGAGAACCCUAGCAGAGAUUGAAAAUCACAAAAUAUACAGCAAAGUAAAGUGUUAGACUUUUAAAACACCCUUUCUAAGUUCCUUCCAAAGUUCCCCUCUUCCCUUAGCACAGAAAAAGACCACACAUUUGGGUAAGUUAAAAAUGGUUUACUUACAAACUUUUAAAGGUCAGAUCCAUGUGCUUUUCCAUACAUCAGUCAGAAUACAAAAGCAGUAAAACUUAGGCUCCAAAGUGGUGAACAUUCUUAAAUUAUUUGUAUAGAAACACAAACACAGUCAAACCUCAGUUGUCAAACGAAAUCCGUUCGGGAAGACUGUUUGACUUCCGAAACGUUCGACAACCGAGGCGCAGCUUCUGAUUGGUUGCAAGAGCUUCUUGCACUCAAGCGGAAGCUGCAUCAGACGUCCGAGUUCUGAAAAACUUUCGGAAACCGGAACAUUUACUUCCGGGUUUUUGGCAUUUGGGAGUCGAAACGUUCAAAAAUGGAACCAUUGGAGAACCGAGGUUUGACUGUGUGGCUUGCUUAAGCCAUACAGUCUGAGCUUGCAGCAGCCAGCUCAGAUCUCUUUACUCCUUGGUGCUCACAUGGUGGAACAGGAAGAACAAAGUUUGAUGACACUUCCUCCCAAGCUGAUGGGGGCGUGACCUAGCUAAACCUGGCAGAACAGCUCACUCUAUGGUCUUAACCCCCUCAUGCAUUAAAAUAGAGUUAAGAAUGUUGGUUAUAUGAAGCUGAUUUCCCCACAAUCUGAAGCCCUGGAGAGCCGCUGCAGUCAGUGUUGACAAUACAGAGUUAGAUGGACCAGUGGUCUGUAUUCGGCUGCCAGCACAGCUAGGCCUGUGCAAAUUUUUCACCGGGUUUCAAAGAUGGGAUGCCACAAGAAUAGAAAAUGCCCUAUCUCAAAUUAUCGCUGCUGAUACUAGGAGAAUGGACCUCUGAGGAUGAUCUUAAUAGCUGGGCAGGUUUGUGCAAGAGCAGAUGGCCUUUUAAUGACCCAGAUUACAAGCCAUUUGGAGCUAUGAAGGUGACUCUGCUUGGUAAUGGGACACCCAAAGCUGUUGCAUUUUUAGAUCCCUCCCCCUCCAACCCAGCCUGUACCAGAGUCUGUCUCUGUGUAAUAUAUAACAGAGUCAUCUUAGCACAGCUAAGCAAAUCAGUGGGGCCAAAAAUAAAUAAAUAACAGCCUCCAUUCAAGCCCAAACAAAUAGAAUCUAACUUCGUUAUUAGUUGCAGUUCCAUCUUUUUCAUGCUGAGGACUUAGCUACGCUAAUGUGAUUGUUUUAUUACCAGUUACUGUAAGCGCGAAUGGUUAUUGGGUUCCUUUAUGGCUUUAUUUUAUUAUUAUUUAUUAGUUUUCUAUACCACCCUUCAUCAUAAGAUCUGAGGACAAUUCACAGAGUAAAAUACAGGAUAAAAAUGUGAAAAUAAGUAAAACAGCAAAACAAUAACCCCCUCCCUAUAGACACAUGUAGAAUAUUAAUCAACCCAAGGCCUGGUUGAAAAAGGAACAUUUUAGCCUGGUGCCUGAAAAUACAUAAUGAAGGUGCCAGGCAAACCUCCCUGGGGUGAGCAUUCUGUAAAUCCAGAAUGUGUCAGUCAAAACGGGGUAGUUGUGGGGUAUGGUGUGGUGUCAUGAUCAAGGGAAAUACAAUUCUAUGAUUCUAUGAGCAGAGGUGAGGAGAGAAAGUGAUGGUGAAGUAAUCAGAACAGGAACCGUAGGGGACUGCGUUAUAUUGAGUCAGUCUCUUGGUCCAAAGUGGGAUACAAUUGCUGUAAACGUAUGGUGUGGAUGUAGUGUUAAUGUGACAAAAAAGACAAGCCUAUUUAAUGUUAGCUAGCACUGCAGCCUCAUUGUGAGCAAACACUGACCUCUGUUCCAGUCCUGAAAUGCCUUGGGCUGGGGAGAGAUUUGACCGCACUGACCGAUUCCAUUGACUGUAGCAGGAAUGUUCACUGUUCACUGUAAUUUACCAAGGGCUCACUGCAAAAUUGUCCUCCCGCAGUUUAGCCCUUAGAUAUCAACAGAAAGCCAUGAUCAACAGCAGCAGGUAUACCAUUUUAGCAUAUUACACUGGCUGCAAUACUUGGACCCAAGUUUAACAGCUAAUUGAAGAUUGCAGAACUGACACUAUCUGUGAAAGCUAAGCAAAUAAAAGAGACGGCAACAGUAGCUGUUAUCCAUCAGUUUUAUUUAUUUUUAGAUUUUUUAGACUGGUACUGAAAGUUUUCAAUAUAUUUCGAAAGCAGGGUCAAUUCAGCUCUGAACUGCUUGAGACAGAAUAAAUAUGGAUGUCUACAAUGUUAUUCCAAAGUAGAACUGCGUUUUAAUGCAGUAAUAAUUCAUGCCAAGUGUUCCAGGCCUCAAGCCAAGAAAAGUGCCAUUAAAACAAACAAACACUUAAGAUUUUGUAUCUAGCACAUUCCUAUUGGGGUUCUUUCACUGCACGUACUCACUUGUACAUAACAUAUGUUAUACGUUACAGUUGUAAUAAUUCCAUACAAUUACUGAGAAAUCUACUUUUAGAGCAUUCACAGAUACAAAUAUUUUGUAGCAUUUCCCACCCUGCGGCACAACGAUUCCUGUAUAGGCAGUUUUGCUGACAUAGUCUUGCUGCUGUUAAGUUGUCAGAUCAUGACUGUUUUAGCAUCAGACCUUAGAAAGAUGUGUCCUAAUCAAUGCACUGUAGAACAAGAUUUUUAUAAUAGUAUAGUUCAGGAUAUUAAUACUUGCAUAGCUUUUUCUCUGCAAUUCACAUGCAUUUGUAGUGAUUCUUUAUAUAUAGUAUAGCACCUCAUUGACAAGGUUAUGUACACAACGCUGGUUCACAUGCCACAUUAAACCAUAGCUAAAAUAGACUAUAGGGACGCAGGUGGCGCUGUGGGUUAAACCACAGAGCCUAGGACUUGCCGAUCAGAAGGUUGGCGGUUCAAAUCCCCGCAACGGGGUGAGCUCCCGUUGCUCAUUCCCUGCUCCUGCCAACCUAGCAGUUCAAAAGCACGUUAAAGUGCAAGUAGAUAAAUAGGUACCGCUCCGGCGGGAAGGUAAACAGCGUUUCCGUGUGCUGCUCUGGUUUGCCAGAAGCAGCUUAGUCAUUCUGGCCACACGACCCGGAAGCUGUACACCGGCUCCUUCGGCCAAUAAAGCGAGAUGAGCACCGCAUCCCCAGAGUCGGUCAUGACUGGACCUAAUGGUCAGGGGUCCCUUUACCUUAAAAUAGACUAUGGUCUAGUGUGAAUAAGCAGCAUGCUGGUACACACUGGUCAAAAGUUUGUAAUGUGCUCAUCUCCCACUCCUGCUGCACCAGAAAGGAAACAAGCCAUCCAAACUCAACCACAUUUGAAUUGAAGCUCAUAGUUUGUUUUUCUCCAAAAAACAAACAAACCCACAAGCACAAACUAAGGAUUGUUUGGGGAAAAUAAACCCUGAGUCCAGGUUCAGAUAACACAAGAAACUAGAUUAAAGACCUGUUUUCUGGUGAGGUGGCAGCAAGUGGAGUGAGGAUUAAAUUGAAAAGAUUGAAGCAGUAUGUACGAGCACGUCACACGGUCACAUAAAGCCAUAAAUUACAUUAACUGUAGUAACUUUAAUGUGCCAUGCUAGCUGAGCCACUAUCCAUUAUAAUUGAUACUUCAAUAUAAAUACUCUACUGCAUAUAUGAAUACCUCAUAAACCAAAUAUAUGUUUUAAUAUUCCUACGCAAUACAUUUCAAUACAAUUUCCAAAAGAAAGAAGAAAAAUUAAUUGUUCCUGUCUUCUAUAGUCCUUUCUCCAACAUGAUCACAGUAAAGAUCAUCAGUGUUACUAAUCAGGCAUUGAUAAAUAUUAUAAGAUAGCUACUUCCUCUAUGUAAUGUCGAGUGGCUUGUAUUUUUACUUCUUGGGACCUUUAUUCAACACAAGAGCAAACAGGUCCUCCUCUUUUUCAUAUUGAUGACUUACUAUAUUCUCAAUUAAUGCUGAAACAUGAGGUUGUUGGCUGAUUCCUCCUCUUUUCUGCAGACAUUCUGUUUCUCCUUGUCCUUCAUGCCCAUUCAGCCCGUGUGAGUUCUCUGGUGUGUUAGGGGCAUGUCAAGUGAUUACUGUGCAGGCCAAUUCAUUGCCUACUCCUUCCCUAGAUUCCUCCCUACACUUUCGAUCUCAUUUUCACAGCCAUCAGGGUCAAAACUUUGUAGCUUUUAAAUUUCAAAGCUGGGGUAUUAAGGGGUUUUGUGUCUAAUUCUGAGUUCUGCCUCUGUAUAGUACAAUUUCAGAAGCAUGGAGUACCUUCAGCUAUGCUCUAUGAUACGCCCCUGAAAGCGUAUCCUGAGCAAUGUUGAUAAUGGAGGUCCCUGGAACAAAAGGGGGGGGGCUGUAAACAGAGCCCAUGCUGUGUGUGUUCCAACUUUGUAUGAUUUCCAACAGUUACCCUUUCACUGCAAGUAUUUGGUUUUAUUUAAAGCCUGAGAGCACGUCCUGAUCACACAUUGCAAUCCUCAAAUGCCAUACCUUGGGAACAAAAGGGACCUGUAUAAUUAUCAUUCUAUUAAAUAUGCCCAAUUAUCUUAGCAAUGACUCCUGUUCUUUCCAACCUUCGCAACUCAUUCAUCACAACCUGCUGUGGCUGUUUUAUAUUAAUUAAGCUUCUAUAAUGAUGGGAAAUUAUAUCAUGUUGCAGUCGACGGUUCAUGCAUUAGGGCCGUGCAUUCGUUCAUGUUAAAUGAGCUGCAGAAUAAUUACUAUGCCAAGGAAUAGUACGGUACUGUCUGUAACUCCAGUCAUUUGUCAUCAUAAGUGUGGCCCUGCAACAAACUACUGCAGCGUAGGGUGCUUCUCCGGUUCAGGUUUCCAGCCACGCCAUCUAUUCCCCUCUCCCUCUUGUUUUUCACUCUUCACUCCAACUCUCAACAGUCAGUCAGUAUCCCAUGGGCUCUGAACAAUCUCAGUCUUCAUUUAUAUAUCAAUCAAUCAGUUUAUUGUUCUAGCCAAAAGCCAUGACAAAGUCAGUUAUAAUAACAAUAAUAAUAAAAUAAUACAGAACAUACACCCGUAAUAUGAGCCUACACUCAAGUUGUAAGAGAUAGAAGAUACCAGAGACACCAACAAGCUUAAACCUAGCUUGAUUUCAAAAUAAACCUCUGAAUCUCCAAAACAGCUUAUAUAGCAACGUUAUCAAACUCAGUUUUCCUUAUUUAUUUUUUGCAACUCGUGCAUAAAGGGCCACUUUGUGUUAUGAAAGGGCCACGUUGUGUUAUGAAGCUAUUAUUAUCAUACAAAAUAAACUGAAUAGAUAAAUAAAUUGAAUAAAUAAAAUAUCUGCUGGAAUGUACCUGCUUUCUUGUGUGAACUAUGGUUUCAGAAACAGAUCUUUUGGGUCUCCCUAUUCAAAAGCACAUCAAAGUACAAGUAGAUAAAUAGGUACUGCUCCGGCGGGAAGGUAAACGGUGUUUCCGUGUGCUGCUCUGGUUCGCCAGAAGCGGCUUAGUCAUGCUGGCCACAUGACCCGGAAGCUGUACGCCGGCUCCCUCGGCCAAUAAAGCGAGAUGAGUGCCACAACCCCGGAGUCGGUCACGACUGGACCUAAUGCUCAGGGGUCCCUUUACCUUUACCUAUAAGGGGCAAGCUAACAGGUAACGAGUGAUGUCUUCCACCUGAGGUUGACCACAAAUACAAAGUACAGGACCUUGUUGUAGCAGCCAACCAAAACAGCAGAGGACAUCACUUGGAGAUGCAGCUCAGUAAAGGCAUUUUCUUUCGGAAACUGGCAAGAGUUUGGUCAGAUAACUAGUUCUAAAAUGCACUGUUUUCAGGAGUGGGUACCAAGGGGGAAAUGUGGUGUUCCUAAUUAAUUGCAGAUCCCUUCUGGAUUUUAUGCAGAUGGUAAGUAGGUAGGUAGAUGAUGAUAUAGAUAGAUAGAUAGAUAGAUAGAUAGAUAGAUAGAUAGAUAGAUAGAUAGAUAAGUACUUGGGGUUAAGCACCUAAAGACUCAGGAGAUCAGUAUUAGCAUACAGUAUGUUUCCAGCAUAUCACUGUUGCAUCAUUUGUAAACACAAUGUGACUUCAUGCUGGUCACCUCAUGUAUAACCCUGGGUUACAUCAUUCCUUCUAAAGCAAACUGGAGAGGCUCUUGCCAAAACACGUGCUCCAGCAAAUGCCUUAGAGUUGAAUGUUGAAACUCCAAUUGUGUAGCACCUUCCUUUGUGAGUAGUCAACUCCAGGGCACUGUUUGCUCAAUGAAUCACACCCCUCAGCAGAAUUUGUGGCAUUUUAAACCUCCCACAGAGCUUGCAGGCAAGGACGGAGACAUUUUCCAAUGGAAACGCAAGGCAUUGCAUAGAUUUACAGGAAAUGCGGCUGGAGAUAAAGUGGCUGGGGGGGGUAGCAAACUGAAUAUUAAUCUACAGUGGUACCUUUGGUUGCGAAUGGGAUCCAUUCCGGAGGCCCGUUCACAACAUAAAAAGAGCACAACCUGCAGUGAUGCGUCUGCGCACACGCGCAUUGCGAUUCGCCGCUUCUGUGCUUGUGCCAAAAAGAUAAUAGAGACAAGGCCUGUCUGAUAUGGAGUGGGAGGGAGCCACUGCACUCAAGGGCCAGAAUCGUAUAGAAUGGACCUCCUGUUAAGAUGGUAUCUGCAGGAAGCCUUCUCCUGCAAAUUGCUGUUAUCAGCUGGGUAUAUAAUGUACUUUAAAUGCAAAGUGUCUCCCACAUAGUUAUACCCCGCAACAUUUCUAAUAUGGACAUUGUGUCAGUCAUCAGGAAAAUGGAUCCCCACCACCACAGCCAGCUGCCAGGGAUAGAAAGACAGGGAAACCUCUUACCAAAGUCUUUUAUUCAAUAUUCACAGAAAGAGACUUAGAAAGGUAGCCUCUUGAAAUAAUGGUGUUGCUCCAAGUAAUCUCCACCCCCCCUUCCCUUCUCAGUCGCCAAUAGCACCACCACCCUUACGGCAGCUGCUUAAGGCCAUUUGCCUCUUAGCUCUUUGCUCUCCUACUUUCACUGCUUGCCGGGUUCUGGGAGAAGGGGGGUCUGGAAUGUUUUCUGGUGAUGACGUGUCAGCCAGCUGCUCCAGCUCUGCUUUUCCCUGCUCCUCCCAUUAUUCCUCAGCUUUGCCCCUCUUCUGUCUCUGAGUCAUGACCUCUCCCCCUCCCCACUCCUGCCUUUGUCUGCUGGUCUCCUCUGCAUCAGGAGGUGCUGCACCACCCGGCACGGCCUAGGGGUGCUCCAGGCUGUGUGGCAUCAGGAGAUGCCACGGAACACCCCCCAGUGCAGCUGCCUCCUCCUCAAGUGAUAAGUGACUGAAAUAACGGUACAGUUGUCAGAAUUCCAAGGAACAAUAGCAAGAAAUUUGGUCUCACAGGCCUCAGCCUUCUUCUUAGCAGCAAUGCUUAUGUAUAAUGAACAUUAUACGGUGAUAAUAUCUCUGGUGACUGUAACCAAAUUUUCUCAACGGCAACGUGUGUCUCGGAGCAUGCCGAAAUGUGGUUGGCUGUCAAGUGAGUCACUGAUUGAUUCUACUCAGGCAAUUCUGGCAUUCAGCCUUAAAGCAGAUUAGUUCACAAGCUCCCCGGUAUAAGAGCAGGCAAGCAAAUAAUCACCUCUUGUUAAAAUCAUAAAAUUUACACUUUAGGUCAGCUUCUCACAAAUUCUCACUACUUUCUUUCUUUAUUGAUUGACUUGAUGGAUAAAAUGUAUACCCCGCUUCCUAGCCAAGAAAGACCCCACCACUCUCAGGGUGCUACAUGGUAUAUGUACGGGAAUGUGAGUCAAGGUACAUAUUCUUAAAUAAAUAAGUGAACAUUAUGCAAGUGCCUAUUUUUCUGCAUAUACAGUAUGUAUAUAUGGCAAAACUGUAUAAUCUUCACUUGUUAUUAUGUACUCACGUGUAUUUUUUUCCUUUUUAAACCUGCAUAAAGUUAAAGGGACCCCUGACCAUUAGGUCCAGUCGUGACCGACUCUGGGGUUGUGGCACUCAUCUCGCUUUAUUGGCCGAGGGAGCCGGAGUACAGCUUCCGGGUCAUGUGGCCAGCAUGACUAAGCCGCUUCUGGCGAACCACAGCAGCGCACGGAAACGCCGUAUACCUUCCCGCUGGAGCGGUACCUAUUUAUCUACUUGCACUUUGACGUGCUUUCAAACUGGUAGGUUGGCAGGAGCAGGGAGCGAGCAAACGGAGCUCACCCCAUCGCGGGGAUUCGAACCGCCGACCUUCUGAUCAGCAAGUCCUAGGAUCUGUGGUUUAACCCACAGCGCCACUGGCAUCCCUUUUUAAACCUGCAUAGAGGGAAGCAAAAAGAGUGAAACUUACAAGUUCUUCCUACAGCUGUAUGUGCCUGUGCACAUCUGUACAGAAAUGACAUUGCAUGUUUCAUUCUCUCACUGAUGGUAGCAGAGUGUAUUUUGGAAGUAUCAGUGGAAAACGAGCUUCCAGGCAUCAUGCAUUUUAAUGAAUUUCCCAUCCUUGCAAUCCCUGAUGUAAAGAAGGGAUUGUUUUGUCUUCACACAGGGCCACGGAAGUGUGUCUACAUCGGCUCCUGCUCUGAUGCAACAGGGACAAGAAGGAUGUGCAGCAAGACACGAGCCCAAACCUUUGUUAGGCAAGAAUGAUGCUCACACUAUUACCAAGGGCUCACACCACUUCUCCAGCCAUGCAAACUGCCAUCAAGCAAUUAUAGCAGGAGUUACUCUGGUUUGCAGGUGGUUUGUUGUUGUUUUUUAGUAUGUAAGAUUUUAUUAAAACACUACAAUUAAA
rnacentral:lncRNA from 1 species